CCAUGUGGCGGGAACUAUUCAGGGCCUUUCAUAAGACCCGAAGGAAAAUUUUUGAAGGCCCUUACGUCGUAAGGGCU
rfam:Heligmosomoides polygyrus genome assembly, scaffold: HPBE_scaffold0002759